UGUUGACUCUUAAUAAGUUUCCCAUAAAAAAAAAUCCUCUAGGACCCAUUAUUGCCUCAGCAGACCAAUAUUUUAUAGCAUAGUUGUCGCAGGCAGAACUAAGAUCAGGAAUGAGGGCCUGCAACAGGCACCUGCAGACUUCUGCUUGUAUGGGUGGGGAAGCAAUUAAUUUGGUGCUGAGCUCUUCAUUCAGCAUCCACAGGGGAAACUGCAGUAUUACAUAAGGUAAAGCCUCGGUUUAGGACGUGUGGCAAAGCAGGGCGUGUGUGUGAAAUGGGAGGAGGGCUGAAGGCCAGACCUCAGAGCAUCGUUGCUACUUUGGGAGAGAGUGCCAAAAAUCCACUUUUUUUCCUGAGGAUUAGGCUUUAACCUUAUUUUGUGCAUCUUUCCUGGUGCUUCAGUUUUUCUUUUCAGAUCUGUUUGCGCCAUUACAGCUCCCGCUUGCCUUGCUUACACCCGUACAAAGCAGGGCUGCAGGGGCAGGUGGUGCUGUGUGGCUCCAUCUCCCCAGGCAGACGGAUGGCAGUGAAGAUGAGGCACUGAUAUGUGCUGUGGUCCUUGCCUGCCUCCAUGUCUGGUGUGAAGCUUCGUGCAUUUUUGUAGGGUGUUUUAGGAGCGGUGGAUGAUAGCUGGUCACUGUUGGAAGAAUUAAGCAGCAUAAAUUAAGGCCAUUGUUGACCCACAAGUGGCACUGCCAUGUAAUAAUAAUAGUAGAUGUAGAAAGUGUAAAUCCUCAGGCACUGGGGGCAAGCAUUGUCCUAAGCAGAAGCAAUUCUAUGUUCAGAGUAUUUGGGAAGUCCCAUAGUGGUUUAUAAUAGACCCUGUAUGGCACACUCCAAAAUCUGGAAGCUCCGUCUCCUCUUGCUUUGAAGCCAAGAACACUUUGAGCUAAUUCUCUCUUUUUUGCCCUUGCCAUUGACCUCAUUUACAGAGAUGAAAGGAGUGAAAACAAUUAGCUCACCGGGAAAUUCUAUUAUGUGGAAGGGAGGUGGACGGUUGAUCGAUACUCAGGGGUUAUGGUCUCAGCUGGAAGGGCAGAUUUUUGUCUCCCAGAUGGAGUGAUGCCCGUUAGUCUCAGGCGGCUUUGCAAGUAAGAAUAGAGAUCCAAUCUUUUGCUCCUGGAAAACUGAAAGAUACCACUUUAAUCUUCUCAAGCAGUGAACUGGAGAAGCUAUUAAACCUAAUUCAUCAUAUUGUUAUAGGGGGGAAAAGGGCUUGUUAGGGAAAUGUGCUCUUCAUUUAACUGUGACUAGUUGUGUAAAGCGGGACCCGCCCAGCCUCUUACUCCCCCAGCCCAGAAGCUGUUUCUGACUGUUUCACAACAUCACACAACUUGCUCCAUUCACACCCAUAAUACAGUCUCUGAGAGCCUGCCUUGCUGCUUCACCUCGCUGACUUUGACCACACAGCCAAGCUUCGGGCUGCAGCGUAUGCUGGUCACACGUACGCGGUGUGCCCUGCUGAGGACAGUCUGUGCCAUUGGGGUUUCAGCUGUGACUCCAAAGCAGCCGCUCUGCUAAAUUGGAGAGGUGAAACAGAUCUGGCUGCUCUUGAAUUUUAAUGUCCUCACUGAAGCAAAUGAGCAUAUAUUAAGAGAGGCAAGGGUGUUUCAGCCUCCAAGCUGUCAUGCCUCAGGUGGCUGAAGCUGCUCUAUUGGAAAGUAGAGGACAGAAGCAGAGGCUGCCAGAGCUGGAGGACAUGAUGAAACUUGUUCAGGAUCUGAGAACUGGCAGAAGAUCAGCUACAGGAAGAGAUGCCUGAAUGACUUCCUGACUUCAUAGAAGACUGCAUGACAUGGAUGACUUCUUUCUGUGGACAUGUUUAGAAGUGUCAGAUGCAAACGUCAUCUGAAAUCAAAGCUGCAGUUGGGAAGAUCUACCAGUUUCAAUCAGCAACAACAUCUGAAAUGUAGCAAGGGAAGCCUGUUUAUUCUACUGUUUGGAGUAUGGGUAUUCCAGAAGAGAUGGUAACAGAGGCUGUUUGGAGAAAUCUUUAUAACUGUCUUAAAAACUGUGAGGCUACUUAUAUGGUACUCUUCCAAUUGGCCAGCACUGGAUCACAAGAUAGAGGUCCAUCUUUGCUCUUUGCCAUCCUGUGUGUUUCUUGACAACAGAAUGAAAAAAGAGGGGAAAUCCUUUGCUUACAUCUUUGCCUAUGUAGUUGCACAUGGGUCAGGUGUCAAGCUGAUCUUGUUAUGAAGCUGUGAAACUUUGAACCUCUGCUCAUUGAGUAUGACCUGCAGCUCUGUGUGUCAGAGGAAUUGUGGCUGUGCUGAAAUACCUCGAAGGAAUGGUUCGGUUUGAGUCCUCCCUCCGUAUUCAUACAGAACUCACCAGAUUGUGUGGGUAGCACUGGAUGGCUGUGAGCUGAAAAUAUAUGU